GUUCCCAGGUUCAGCCCAGGACAGCCAGGCUAGGUGCACGCCAACCCUGGGGACAGGCCAGCGAGUCUGAGCUGUUGCAGUUUGGGGCAGGUGCCUUCCAGGCUGUGUGAGUCAGGGUCCGCUCCUGGCCCUUCUGAGGGUGCCACCCUGGCCUCCCCACCUUUGAGCAGGUCAGGGGGUGGGUCUGGGCUCCAUAGGGCUGGUCAGGAGGAGGCAGCUGUGAGAUCCCAGACAGAGCCAGGAGAAGAGCAGAACAGAUGACAGGCAGGCGUGCUGCAUCGGGCUGGGACUGUGGGGUGUCGGCGGACAGGGGUGGAGCAGGGUCUUGGGCGUUCCUCACUUAUUGCCUGAGUGUCAUGAGGGGCCUGGCCUUGGCUGGUGUUUCUGUCCCUUGAGGGCGUGGUGUCUGAGGGCAGGGCUUAUGGCCCUGCCCUGUGUGCUGCUCUGGGGGCCUGGAGGCCUGUGUCCCCACCCCAGCCUGCCUUUGCCCUCCUGUACCUCUGGCCUGUGUCUUGCCCCUUUGAGUACCUGCCUGGAAAGCACUGGAGUUGGGGGCAGAUCCUGCCUUGAGUGACCACCACGUGCCCAGCAGCGAGCAGCAGAGGAUCUCCAGGAGUGUGGCAGGGUCCCCUCCUGAAACUGACAGGAAAUCCGCAUCACCUUCAACUGGAAGAAGAAAUGAAAAUACCAUCUGUGCCUCGAAAUCUUUCUGUUUCUAGACAGGGACAUCCCAGGCACUUGGUGGUGGGGCCAGGGCUCCUGCUUGCCGUAGGAGGGCUGUUGGCCUGCAGGCCAGGCUCCUGCCUGCCACCACUCCGCACCCUCUGUGCUGGCGGCAUCAGGGACGGUCUGGGAAGACGCAGACUGGACGUGUGGCUUGGAUGGGCCAGCAGGGGAGAGGGGCAGCGUAGGGUCCUGAGUCUGGGGGCAGGAGCAGACUGUGUUAGCAAGCAUGGGUGAGGACCUUGGUUCCCCCACCUGCUGGCUGUCAUCGGGGCUGGGACGAGGUCAGGUCUGUGACAGGGCGUGGCACCAAGUCCAAGCAGGUAGGAGGAUUUGAGGACCUGUGAAGCUAGAAGGUCAAGCAGGGAAUUCAGGGUUGGGACACCCUCCUGGGAUCAGCAGGCGUUCGCCCUUCAUUGCUCCGCUGGUAGCACCAGCCUUCUCAGACAAAGGCUUCUUUGGCAGGGCCUGGGAACCCCCUGGAGGGAUCAGGGCGACCAGCUUCGUUGCUGAGCCCCACCAGGACAUCACACCUCAGGAAGAGGCUGUCCUUGGUUCUCCUGGUGGGGAAGGGGAGCUGUGAACAAGGCUUCCCCCAAGGUGAGGCUGGGGCUGGGCAGUGGAGACUGGAGGCAGAGAGGACCUACCCAGGCUUUGCGGCGCGUGGGUGGCAAGCCUUCUAGAACCUGUGUGUGCUAGCGUCAGAGGGGACCCUCAGGCUGGGCUGGGAGGGGCCCCACCUUGACUGUGGUGAUGAGAGGCAGGAUGUGGGGCCCAGGGGGUGACUCUGCCUUGGAAGUGCUGCUCAUGAGGGAUGGGGCUUCCUAUAGCAGGCCCUUAGCCAGCGGAGCCGCAGGGUAGGGGAGAGGCAGGGGCAGUGUGACUUGGGAAGUCAAGGCAAGAAAUGGCUAAAGGAGAAGCGGGUGUCUCAGUGGCUGGGCCCAAAGGCCCCCAUCCUGCCAUCCUGUGGCAGCAGCUUGAGGGGGGCCCAACCUCUUAUGUCUGCCCUCCCACGCCCUCCAGCCUCUGGGGCCCUGGGGCGGCAUAUAGGCUGCAGGGGUUGGGGGCUGCCUCUGUUGUAGUGGCUGCAAGGCUGGUGGAACAGGAAGGUGUGUUGUUGGCUUCUCCUGGACCACACCCCCUGAGGAUGACACCUCCCAACACGAGGGAGAGCGCUGCGCUUCUCAGUGCGUUCCACAUCUCAGGCUUCAUUGUCUCCAGCCUGGCCUUCUUGGCCACGCCACGUGAGGCUCCCUCAGUGUGGAGGCUUCUUCCUGCACUUUCUGGGACCUUUAUUUCUGAAGGCGGGAGGCAGGCCUCGAACCCCAGGUGCACUUGCUGGUGGAGGAAAGUGGAAAACACACAGGCUUUGUGGGAAGACAGGACGCCAUUCCUCCUCCCGUGGAUUGCCUGUGGAGCUGGGACAGGAAGCUUGCUACUCUUGUCAGAACGACUGCGGAGGGUGACUGGAGGGUGAUGCCUGGAAGAGGGAGCAGUACACAGGAGCACAGGCGCCCCUCUUCAUCUUGGUUUGCACUAAAGGGGCGGCAGAACCCAGAGGGCCUGGCUAUGUCAGCCCAGCCUCCAGUGCCUUCCGAAAGGAAAAAACCAUGCGUGGUACAUAGGCACACGCGCACGCCGCACCACGUACUUUUUAUUGAAGUAUACAUGUGCUACAGACCAUUUAAGUACAGAAAAGCUAAAAGAAGAAAUUAAGUGGCACCCACAGUUUUCCUUCCCAGACAGGACUGUCGCUUGGCCCUGUUCUCACUGAAAACCUGCCAACAUGGAGCCCAGGAAGCCCCUCCUGGUAGCCAAGGGUGUGGCCCUGUAGUCACGGCAGCCUGCCUGCUCUCGCCACCGAUGUCCGCAUUUUUUAGACCCUGGAGUCCUGACUGCAUCUCAGGCCACAGUGCCUUGGGCUCCAGCGGGGUGUCUCGGUGCUGGCAUUGUAGAGUUGAAGCACCACCCCGGGGCCGUGGCGGAGGCCCAGUGUGCUGCUGUAACAGAAAUACUGGAGAUGGGUGGCAAAUAAACAACAAGUUUAUUUUCAUAGUUCUGGAGGCUGGAAGUCCAAGAUGAAGGUGCUGGCAGAUUCUGUAUCUGGUGAGGAACCACUUCCUGGUUCGUAGACAGCUGUUUUCUUACUAUAACGUCGCAUGGUAGAGGGGACGACGGGAUUCUCUGGGGUCUCCUUUCUAAGGGUACUAAUCCCAUAAGGAGGGCCCCGUCCUCAUGACCUUAUCACAUUCCCAAGGCCCCACUUCCUAAGGCCACCCGUCACCCCGGGAGUUAGGGCCGCAGGGUGCGGGUUUCAGGAGGCACGGACAUUCAGCCUAUCGUGCUCAGCGUUCUUGCCUGACCACGGAGUGCAGAUGGCGAGGUGCGGUGGGGUACGGUAUCCUCUGCAGGCCUACUCCCCCCAUUCAUGGCAGCUUUUUUGCCCCUUAACUUUGUAGGGCCACAGGCUGUGACUGUCACUUCAUCUGGGGGAAUCCCAGGACCCAGGGCAAUGCUGCUGCCCAUUUAGGGAGGGGAGGCUGACGCUGCUUUCCCUGUGAGCCACCUGUGCAGAUUAUGACGUGUUUCCCCAGAGCCUGGGAUGGACUGACACUGGCGGGCCGUGUGAGAGGCAGGUGCCCUGUCAGGCGGCAGUGGUACAGCAGCGCUUUCCUCGAUGGAACGGCCACCGUGCCGAGGACCUGGGGAUCCGGAGGGCGCUUGCCUCAUUCUGCACUGACUCUCAACGUGAGUCUCUGGGACCCAGUCUGCUCCAGCUGGUGCCAGCCUGUGGUUAGCCACCUUGCCUCUGAUACUUCACUGUCCUGGCUACAUGAGUGCAAGGGCAGUGCUCUGCUCUUAGUGCCUAGCAUGCAGUGGGGAGGAAGUAGGCUGGUGUCUGCAGGAGAAGUCCUCCGGGCCCAUGUGAGGUCGGUAUGGGCCAAGCCUGUUGUGCCCCUGCGCCUGUGACCCAUGCUGGGAGCAGGGGGCUUCAGGUCCUCAGGCUGCUUUAAGCCUGUUUCUCCUGGGCCCGGAGGGCUUCCUGGGGGAGAGGGUUCACAGCUUCCAGGUCCCCUCCCGCCAGUGUGAACUUGGGUGUGAAUUAAUGAAAAGCAGAUGAGCUCAAAUGUCCCUGGAAUUCCACAUGAAGUUGAAUGGUAUAAUGUAACCAGCCAUGUGUUCUUGGCGGAACCAAAAGUACUCAGAGUGUUGCUGAAGCUGCCAAGUCCUCAGAGUAGCCUAGCCUUUGCCGAAUUUGUGAUUCAUGGGAUGAAUCCCAUUUCAUGAGAUGAUGUGCUUUUCUCCACCGAGUGAAACCCUAGAGAAAAUGACCCCUAACUCUCGGCCAUUCCAGACUUAGAGAGUGGUAUAGCAUGCGGCCCCUGUUUUUAAGCCAAUAUGCUCGGACAGGAAGGGGCCAGGGUCUGCCCCAGUCGUGGUAGGAUAUUGGGCAGCCUGGACCCACGGAUCCUGGACAGAAAGAUGAAGCUCUGGGAUUGGGGAGGGAGGGGAUGGGCCAAGCAGGCCCCCAAGGGUGCAGGGCACCUGGAUGCCGACCACAUGGGUCCAUUGUUCGGAACCUCGCCCUAGCUCUCCUCUGCCUGGGCCUAAUGAGAACAGUGGUCUCUCGGCUGAGCAGGUGGACACCUGUGAACGUCAUCUCAUUACAGAUCUCAAAGGAGGGAGUCUGUGGUUCUGGGCAAGGAUGCUCCACUUCGCUUCUGUCUUCACCAAACUCUUAAAAUUUGAAAUGUAGGAAGUUAUGCCCCUGCAGGGUUCAGGAUAAAGGAAAUGACACCCAAGUCUUGGUUCUUUGUACCUGUUCCAUCCACUGGGUAUUUAGAGAAAGCAGCUUGGCAUGUAGGGUGGUCUCUGGCCCAACUUCACCCUCUUUUUUUGGUGAAGUCUGGGACUUACACAAGGACUGGCUCUUUGGCUCAGCUUUCAGACCUUGAAGGAUCCGCAAGGAAGCUUUGGUCUGGGUACAGCCCUUGAGAAGCACCUUAGAGGUGGCCAUGCCAGUGGAGAAGGUGAGGCUAAGCAAGCUCGUGAGGUCGCCCAUGGCCAGGCCAAAUGCAGGCCUGGCACUCUUUGCCCAGCAGCAGUUUGGAGUAAGUAAGGAGCUUAAUGUUUAAUGGCCUUUGUGUCAGAACAUGAUAAUGACGGUGACAGCAGGGAGGCUAGGAGGGAGUGUGGAUGGACUUCCGAGUAAGAGUUCCCCAGUGUCUCCAGGAACCACUUGCUUUGUAAAAUGACCCAAAUCCACCAUCCCUGGACCUGGCGCAGACUCUGAGUUGGGCCACGGCCUGGGAAACCUGCGUUGGAAAGUCUUUGCUUAGCCCAUAUCGUGGACUUGCUUUUGGUGCCCUGGGCUGGGGUGAGAUGUAAGUGUGUUCCUGUUGUUGUAAGAAGUUGCCUUGCCAAAAG